UUUGACUGUGCAAAGGUAGCAUAAUCAUUAGUUUUUUAAUUGAAAGCUGGAAUGAAUGGUCGGAUGAGAAAGAAGCUGUCUCAUUAUAAUUUGGGUUGAAUUUUAUUUUUAAGUUAAAAAGCUUAAAUGUUAUAGAAAGACGAGAAGACCCUAUAGAGUUUAAUAAGUUAGUGGGUUAAUUAUUUUAGGGUUUUAAUAUAGUUAGUUUAUUACUUGUUUGGUUGGGGUGACAUGAGAAUUUAAUUAACUUCUUAUAAUUUUAACAUUAAUUAAUGAAUGGAUGAUCCUGAUAUUUGGAUUUUAAGAGAAAAUUACCUUAGGGAUAACAGCGUAAUCUUUUUGGAGAGUUCUUAUCGAUAAAAGGGAUUGCGACCUCGAUGUUGGAUUAAAGUUAAGUUUUGGUGUAGAAGCUAAAAUUUU
rnacentral:rRNA from 1 species